rnacentral:rRNA from 1 species
UACGUAGGGACCAAGCGUUGUUCGGAUUUACUGGGCGUAAAGGGCGCGUAGGCGGCGUGUCAAGUCAAUUGUGAAAUCUCCGGGCUUAACCUCGGAACGGUCAAUUGAUACUGAUGUGCUAGAGUGCAGAAGGGGCAAUCGGAAUUCUUGGUGUAGCGGUGAAAUGCGUAGAUAUCAAGAGGAACACCUGAGGUGAAGACGGGUUGCUGGGCUGACACUGACGCUGAGGCGCGAAAGCGUGGGGAGCGAACAGG